GGGGGCGAAUUGGGUUCGACCGGGCAUGAAGAGGUCGAGGCCGCGUGCCCAGGUUGUCAGGAGGCCUGGCUAAACACCUGACACAACCUUAACUGCGAACGGUAACACGUUGCGCAUGGCGGCCUAAGGGCUGCCCGUCCCGCCGGUGACGCCCGCUGGCCGGCGGGGCGACAACAGCGGGCUCGCUCACGAGGGUAGGCGCCGUGACACGUGAGUCAGACCAUCACGACGCUGGGCCGAACGAAGCCUGCCGCUGGGCGCCGGUCGGCCAAGAUUAAACCAGCAGGCUACGCACGUAGAAACCUCAACUGAACUGUCACGGGACGCGGGUUCGAUUCCCGCCGCCUCCAGUC
rnacentral:tmRNA from 1 species